rnacentral:rRNA from 1 species
AUGUGGCGUUGCAUCUAUCAUUUUCAGGAUGCUUGGGUGUCUCUGAGGUUAACUGACUUUUUUUCAUCGGUGCUCCACUAUAACUUGCAUGCUCUAUAUACCCUCAGAACGUUACCUGUACGGCAGUGCCUUGAAUAUUCUUCUGUAGGACAUUUUUGUGUUGUGCUCACCGGUUUCAUUAAGGGAACCAUGAAGGUUAAUUACAAACCACUUGCCAAAAAAUGCAAGGAGGAACAUAGCGCUAUACUGCUAUCGUAUACAUCCGGGAAGCCGGAAAAGGUGGAGGCUGAUUGGUUUUCCCCUCACCUAAGGAAAAGAAAUCCCUUAGGCUUUGUUUGGUAG